rnacentral:pre_miRNA from 9 species
CAUGCAGCUGGAAGGGGGGCCGUUACACUGUAAGAGAGUGAGUAGCAGGUCUCACAGUGAACCGGUCUCUUUUCCUGCUGCGUC